UCUUUUCCUUUUGUGCCCGCCGCCGCGGUAAUACGUAGGGAGCGAGCGUUGUCCGGAAUUACUGGGUGUAAAGGGAGCGUAGGCGGGAUCGCAAGUCAGAUGUGAAAACUAUGGGCUUAACCCAUAAACUGCAUUUGAAACUGUGGUUCUUGAGUGAAGUAGAGGUAAGCGGAAUUCCUAGUGUAGCGGUGAAAUGCGUAGAUAUUAGGAGGAACAUCAGUGGCGAAGGCGGCUUACUGGGCUUUAACUGACGCUGAGGCUCGAAAGCGUGGGGAGCAAACAGG
rnacentral:rRNA from 1 species